AUUGAACGCUGGCGGCAGGCCUAACACAUGCAAGUCGAGCGGAUGACGGGAGCUUGCUCCUUGAUUCAGCGGCGGACGGGUGAGUAAUGCCUAGGAAUCUGCCUGGUAGUGGGGGGCAACGUUUCGAAAGGAACGCUAAUACCGCAUACGUCCUACGGGAGAAAGCAGGGGACCUUCGGGCCUUGCGCUAUCAGAUGAGCCUAGGUCGGAUUAGCUAGUUGGUGGGGUAAUGGCUCACCAAGGCGACGAUCCGUAACUGGUCUGAGAGGAUGAUCAGUCACACUGGAACUGAGACACGGUCCAGACUCCUACGGGAGGCAGCAGUGGGGAAUAUUGGACAAUGGGCGAAAGCCUGAUCCAGCCAUGCCGCGUGUGUGAAGAAGGUCUUCGGAUUGUAAAGCACUUUAAGUUGGGAGGAAGGGCAGUAAGCUAAUACCUUGCUGUUUUGACGUUACCGACAGAAUAAGCACCGGCUAACCCUGUGCCAGCAGCCGCGGUAAUACAGAGGGUGCAAGCGUUAAUCGGAAUUACUGGGCGUAAAGCGCGCGUAGGUGGUUUGUUAAGUUGGAUGUGAAAGCCCCGGGCUCAACCUGGGAGCUGCAUCCAAAACUGGCAAGCUAGAGUACGGUAGAGGGUGGUGGAAUUUCCUGUGUAGCGGUGAAAUGCGUAGAUAUAGGAAGGAACACCAGUGGCGAAGGCGACCACCUGGACUGAUACUGACACUGAGGUGCGAAAGCGUGGGGAGCAAA
rnacentral:rRNA from 1 species